CAAGUCAAGGCGACUUCCUUUCUUUAUCUGAAACCUGCUACUCAUCUGAGAAAGCGCAUUCCAGUCAAACUCUUCUGCAGUGCUGUGGCUACAGAAAAAGCCUCAGUCCUCGAUGCCAUUAUUGCCCCAUAAUGAACAUUUCCCCCAGAAUUUACAGAGGCGGUGUGUGGGUGUUAUCAGGGUGGACUAAGACCCUACAGUUAUUGCGACACAGUCUGCCUUACAAAGAUCUGCAACUGAACUACAUGGCAACUUGAUGAAGAUUACAACUAGUAAACUGUGAAAGGAGGAAAAGGCUCUGGAAAACCAUGUCACAAUAAUUCUACUCCACCAUAAAGGACUGUGAUGCCCACUGAUUGAAAAAAAAAAAAAACUAGUAACAUUGAAGAUGGAGAUAACAAAAUGGCUGAUGAGACAAAAAUGAUGAGGCAGAAUACAUGGAUCCAUGAAUCAAGGGUUAAAGAUGAAAAAAAAAAGUAUUUUGGAUUUUUGAAAAUGAAUAUUUUACUG